UGUGUUUUCUUCCUCACUGCUUCCAGUAGAAGGAACAUUGUUUGAAAUCACCCGUCUCUUCUUUCCUCUACACCAUUAAGAAGAAGUUCUUUCUUUGAGUUUUACUGAGAUAUAAUCGACAUGUAGUCCUUACAUGACAAAAUAUGGAGAUGUGAUCACUUUAGAAAUAAGGCAGACACGGUCGUUAUAUAAGAUCCUGGAUUUGAAGCUGCAUGCAGAAGAAGAGAAAGUUCUGGAUAGAUAACAAAAUGGGGCUUUGUCGUAUGAGGGAGAGUUGCAUUAUGUCAGCCAAUUCAGUUACUUUGGAAUAUUUAUUCUUCCAACUGAAAACGAGAAUCAACUUUUCAAGUUCCUCAAAUUACUCACUGGAAUUUUGACUGAGUGGAAUUAUCCUUAUUGACAGGUGUCACAGUUCCAGCAUUACCUCCAUUUUUAAGGCGGAAGCAAAGGAAAACAGGAGACAUCUGUGACUUCAUCCAUCUCUCUGGCCAGAAUUGUGUCAAACAACCACCCCAGCUCCAAGGAAGUCUCUGAAAGUGUGUGAUGCUUGCAAAAACCCCAAAGAACAGGGAGGCUAGAAGAGUGAGCCUGGGAUUAGGUGUUGAGGGAGUCAAACUACAGUGACUUCCCAGAACCUCUGAGGGCAGCAAAGAUCAGCACCCCAAGUUCACACUUGAGGAGACAGGAGCCCCAGGAGUUUGGGCAUGAGCCAUGGUCACACAGCAGCAGGUGGUGAGCACAAGCUGGCCACCACUCCGUGACACCUGUCUCCCGUAGGCAGGAAAGCCACUGUUUUUAAAUGUUGACAUUUUGUCCAGCUACACUGCUAAAUUCUCGCAUUUUCCUGCCUACUAUUUAGGCAAAUGAAUGUAUUGGGUCACAUCUUCCCUGUUAUAAUGAUAAUUCUUUUUCCUUCCUCAUUUCUCAGUUUUGAUGUCAAAAAUAAUGGGUAUUGUUUGUUUUCCUAUUUAAAUAGGAAGGCUUUAUUGUGUUGCUGUUAAGUAAAUGAUUAAAUUUGUCCUGGAAAAGAAUGCUCUCCAAAUAGUUAAUGGUAAAAACACGUAUUUUCCGUAACAACAAAGUCUUCUAGUUUACCCUUCAAAAUGUAUCAACAUGGAUGGAACUGGAGGGGAUUAUGCUACGUGAGAUAAGUCAAGUAGAGAAAGACAAGUAUCAUAUGGUUUCACUCAUAUGUGGAACAUAAGGAAUAGCAUGGAAGA